GAAUACAAAGCUAGAAAAUCAACUAAUUAAGGUCGGAAAGCAAGUUUAACGAGCCAAGCCCAGCAUCAGACUGGAAAUCAACUUAAGUUCCUCAAUAUUCUUCCUAGCAUCAAACAAACAGAUUGUCAACCAGGUCCAGUUGUGAGUAUUCUUAACCCUGACGGAACAUUAUCAAGUCUUCCAUUAGCAUUUUCAGGGAGCCAAGACCUCCC